AGGGAGACUCCCGAUUGUAGCCUUUUUCCCUCCCCUGUUUCAAACUCUCCUUCCCUCUCCCGAAUCCACCGGAAGGAAAGAUUUAGGGUGAUCAAAUCCUACUAUAUUUGGGCCAAUCCUCUUCCAAGACCACCUCCCUCUCUUCCUAGGGCACCAACCGAGAGAUCCUUUCAAAAGAAAAAAAAAAAAAAAGGGGAGAGAGAGAUUUGGAGUUCUAGGCGAUCCGUGAGAGGCUUGGGUUAUUCGCCGUCGGGCUUGCCGGAGAAGCUCACCGGAGACGAGGGAAACAAUCUGUUGGACGAGAGGACGCUGAGCAGGGUUCUGCGCAUCCUGGUUCAUAGAUCGCCGUGAAGACGGAUGUUUAGUCUGUCUGAGUUUUUCAACAGGAGUUGCAGGACGCAUACAUGGAUGGGUUGGGUGCAGAGCGCGAGUUUCAGAGUUAUUAGCUAGCUAGUUAGUUUAUCUUUCUUUGAUGAUGAUGAGCAUUUGAAGAUUUUGUAAUUGAACCAAUUUGAUUAUCUGGACAUGUUGGAUUUAUCUAUUUAAAUAAAUUAAU